rfam:Ictidomys tridecemlineatus contig089738, whole genome shotgun sequence.
AUCUUUUCUGUUCCUAAGUAUGAUGAUUGAGUGUUCACACGUUCUGUGAGAUGUAUCUUCCACUAAACCUUGCAUAACAUGCACACAUUACCUAACAUAUA